GCCGCCGACGCGAAGCCCCCAGCGCUGACGACGCUGCAGAACGUCCCUGACAGGCUCCUGGAGCCGAUCCUCGAGCGCCUCAUGUCGUCGCCUCUCUGCCUCGUCCGCGUGGCGGCCACCUGCAAGCGGUGGCGCCGGAUCAUGGGCCGCUCAUGGUUCUUCGUCACCGAGCUCUGCAAAGCCCGUCCACGGGCCCCAUACCCACGCCCCGUCGCAGGAAACUACUACAACCGUGUGUCCCCUCUGGGCGGCCGGGAGAUCGCGUUCGUCCCAACGGCGCAGCACGGUGUUGAGAGCCGCCGCUUCUCCCUCGACUUCCUCCCCGGUGACAGUAGUGCAUGGGAGGUCGUCGACAACGGCGGCAGCCUUGUGCUCCUCGCCGAGAAGAAAAAGAGCGGGUGGAUGCGCCGCUGCUUCCCCGACCUCAUGGUUUGCGAGCCGGCCACGCGGCGCUACCAGCUGAUCCCGCACAUGGAGGAGAUGAAGCGUCACCGCUGCCUGGGCUCGUACCUCGUCGGCACAGAGAGGCGCGCUGAGUUCAAGCCUGAGAUCGGCAUCCGCGUGCAUGUCGUCGACAGCAUGGAAACAUUCAAGGUGGUCUGUGUGGUCUAUCAACAAUACGACGGGGUGUGUGACGACAUUGGCAACGCGAGGGCAUGCUUCUUCGCCCGGGACACCCUCCAGAUCUUUGUGAGACCCACGAUCACAUACUUAGGUAAUGCGUGGGAGCUGCACAAGAGCCUCGAGUUGAUGGAGGCA
rnacentral:rRNA from 1 species